rnacentral:tmRNA from 1 species
GGGGCUGACCGGUUUUGACAGCGGGUUUGAGUCUUGAAGUAAGCAUGCCGAGGGUUGUAAGGGACCUCGUAAAUCGGAACUUUCAAACUACAAAUGGCAAUAAUAGCUACGCACUCGCUGCGUAAUUUUACCAAGUAAAAUUACCUUAAUCCGCCCGGUCAAGGAAUCGGGCCGACGAGUACCCGUCGGAGGGGGACCGCUUUUAGCCCCGUUCGGCAAUGGGUAUCAUUCAAAUAAAAGAUAGCCAUUCGGGCGUCCGGACCGAACGGCGAAACUCAACGGAAUACGGAAUUGACUCGGGUGCCUUCCUCCUGGUUUUUUCCCGACAAUCAAGCGGAGACUAAGCAUGUAGAAAGCUUUGGGGUUCCUCGUUUGGACGAGGGUUCGAUUCCCUCCAGCUCCACA